rnacentral:rRNA from 1 species
GAGUUUGAUCGUGGCUCAGGAUAAACGCUGGCGGCGUGCAUGAGACAUGCAAGUCGAACGGACGAUCAGGGCUUGCUCUGAUCGUUAGUGGCGGACGGCUGAGUAACGCGUAGGUGACCUGCCCCGAAGUGGGGGAUAACUGCCCGAAAGGGUGGCUAAUACCGCAUGUGGUGGUUCGUUCGAUCGAUCCAUCAAAGCAGUAAUGCGCUUCGGGAGGGGCCUGCGUCCGAUUAGCUCGUUGGUGGGGUAACGGCGUCACCAAGGCGACGAUCGGUAGGUGGUCUGAGAGGACGAUCACCCAGACUGGGACUGAGACACGGCCCAGACUCCUACGGAGGCAGCAGUCGGGAAUUUUGCGCAAUGGGCGAAAGCCUGACGCAGCAACGCCGCGUGAGGGAUGACGGCC